rnacentral:lncRNA from 1 species
GCGAAUUCCUGUCCCGGUCGUCGGGCAGCCACUGGACACUUGCCCAUCUUUCAGCCUUUAAAUUGAGAGGAACCACCGAAGAACGCAUGCACAGUGUUUCCCAAAAGCCCUGUAUCCUUGGGAGCAACCAAGAUGUAAUCGGUCAGAGAAAUGGUUUCUUCCUGGAUCCAUGUGAGUUAAACUGUUGUGGGACUGGAGACACUCGCGCCUGCAGAGUUGUGGUGACAAGCAAGCCUGUGAGUUCCCAGGCCAGCCCGCAAGAUGGUGAGAGGGAAGAGAGACAUGAUUGAGCUGCCUGGAAUCUGCAUCCACCUGUGUUGGAAAAACACCCAGACCCCAGCCCUGCAACUCGAAGCCAAGCUGGAGGCCAUCCCUGGGGACUUGUCACCCUAAUCACUACCAGGCUGCAAAUUAACAAAGUGAGUUUAGGGGGGAAAAAACCGUUGUGAAUUUCAGUUACUUGGGCAUUCGUAAAUCUGCUAGAAGUCAAGACUGAUGUUUUAUGGCUUGUUCAGAUGUUGACUGUUUACAAAUUAUACUUUCC